rnacentral:rRNA from 1 species
CCUACGGGUGGCUGCAGUGGGGAAUAUUGGACAAUGGGGGCAACCCUGAUCCAGCCAUGCCGCGUGUGUGAAGAAGGCCCUCGGGUUGUAAAGCACUUUCAGUGAGGAAGAACGCCUGGUGGUUAAUACCCAUCAGGAAAGACAUCACUCACAGAAGAAGCACCGGCUAACUCCGUGCCAGCAGCCGCGGUAAUACGGAGGGUGCGAGCGUUAAUCGGAAUUACUGGGCGUAAAGCGCGCGUAGGUGGCUUGAUAAGCCGGUUGUGAAAGCCCCGGGCUCAACCUGGGAACGGCAUCCGGAACUGUCAAGCUAGAGUGCAGGAGAGGAAGGUAGAAUUCCCGGUGUAGCGGUGAAAUGCGUAGAGAUCGGGAGGAAUACCAGUGGCGAAGGCGGCCUUCUGGACUGACACUGACACUGAGGUGCGAAAGCGUGGGUAGCAAACAGGAUUAGAUAGCCUAGUAGUC